UCGUUUUCAAUAUGUAAUAUCACACAAUUGCUUAAGAUAAGGGCAGCAGUUGGUAACUUUUAAAACGUUUAGACCCGCUACAAUUGUUUGCACCGGUCUCAAGUCAUAAUUUGGAUGUUUUUUUUAUUGUCGUUUGUUGAUGUUGUUGAUAAGUGUUUCUCGUUUCUCGUUUUUUUUUUAUUUAGAUUAUACCGUUGUUUUCCCGUUUGAUUGGUUUUAUAUAAGUCAUUUUUGGGGCCCUUUAUGGCUCCGUGUUGAAGAUCGUACUUUGAAAUACAAUAGUUUACUUUUGCAAAUUGUGGCUUUAAUGGCUUUAAUGCGAAAGUUGUCUCAUUGGCACUCAUACCACACUUUCAUAUAUCUAUAUAAAAUAUAAACUGU
rnacentral:lncRNA from 1 species